CAGGGGAGCCCCCCCCUCCUGCUGGAGGAGAGGCCGUUGGUCCUGCACCCCCUUCCCCCACGCAGAGGGAGGCCAAAUCCCCGGGAGCUCGUUCCGAGGGCAGGACCCUGCCCCUAGCUCUGGGGCAGGGAGGGGAGACGCCAACUCAGACCCGUUUGAGACAGAUGAGAGGUGGAAGCCAAGCCGGGAGAUCUAAUACCUGAACUUGAAUGAGAGGAACACCAAAAGAUUUCACUGGAUAAAAGUGUUUCUUGCAAAAGAAAAGUUCGAAAACCUCAGGGUUACACAGGGCCAGAUAAGUCCUAAGGGCCCUUUCAGCUCUGACAUUCUAGGAUUCUAUGACUAAGAUCUAAUCCGUUCAAAUCUAAAUCCUCAGUAAUUGGACAAACCUUCAUUGAAUUUGCCGAGCAAACAUAGCAUCAACUGUCUGCCCCAAUAAAUAUUUAACUGUAGCCCCA